GCCCUCAGUACUCACUGAAAUGUAUCCAUUCACUGUCUGGGUGUGGAAGCAGGCACAAUCUGGGUUAGAACAAUGUUAUUCGCGAGAGUAUAGAAUAAAUAAUAUAAAACAUAGGACUGAGCAACAUGUUUUUACUCACCCUUCCACUGUUCUCUGUGGUUUCAGGUGCAACUAUACUCCUCAUUGACACCAUAUGUCCAGCCUUUCCAGCUCGUUUCACAGCCUGUCACAAAUAGAUCAACUCCAUGAUGCUCUCAACUGACAGCAAACAUUUCCUUCACCCGCCCCAGGCCACUACUAUGCUUCACAGAAACCAUAAAGAUAGAGUUGAGCCUGAAGAUGACAGUGAUGAAGAAGGUGGACUGUAGAAUUACACAGAUGAACAGGCCUAACCAGAACCCUGUGUAGAGGGAGGAGAGGAAGAGGGAGAGGGAGAGGAGAGGAGAGGAGGGAGGUUAGACCGGCAUUGACCAAAGACAAGAACAUUGUGUCAUCUUCAAUAAAGAAUACUCCCGCGA